UACAGAGGGGGCAAGCGUUAUUCGGAAUUAUUGGGCGUAAAGGGCGCGUAGGCGGCCUGGCAAGUGGAAGGUGAAAUCCCUCGGCUUAACCGAGGAACUGCCCUCCAAACUGCUUGGCUUGAGUCCGGGAGAGGUGAGUGGAAUUCCCAGUGUAGCGGUGAAAUGCGUAGAUAUUAGGAAGAACACCGGUGGCGAAGGCGGCCCACUGGAUCGGUACUGACGCUGAGGUGCGAAAGCGUGGGGAGCAAACAGG
rnacentral:rRNA from 1 species